rnacentral:rRNA from 1 species
CACGUAGGCGGAUAUUUAAGUCAGGGGUGAAAUCCCAGAGCUCAACUCUGGAACUGCUUUUGAUACUGGGUAUCUUGAGUAUGGAAGAGGUAAGUGGAAUUCCGAGUGUAGAGGUGAAAUUCGUAGAUAUUCGGAGGAACACCAGUGGCGAAGGCGGCUUACUGGUCCAUUACUGACGCUGAGGUGCGAAAGCGUGGGGAGCAAACGA